AAGGGGGGCUUCUGUUGUGAGUAGCACAUGUAGGGCAACUAGAUUGCUCUGUGUGCAGAAUCCACAUCAACAGAUUUUAGAAGCAUAAUUUUUUAGUACUUGGUAGCUGGUGAUAGUUGGUCCCAGCAUCUGC
ensembl:snRNA U11 spliceosomal RNA